UACAGAGGGUGCGAGCGUUGUCCGGAAUCACUGGGCGUAAAGGGCGCGUAGGCGGCCUGUUAAGUCGAACGUGAAAUCCCCGGGCUCAACCCGGGAACUGCGUCCGAUACUGGCAGGCUUGAAUCCGGGAGAGGGAUGCGGAAUUCCAGGUGUAGCGGUGAAAUGCGUAGAUAUCCGGAGGAACCCCAGAGGCGAAGGCGGCGUCCUGGCCCAUUUCUGACGUUCAGACAUGACAGCAUGGGGAGCGAACGGG
rnacentral:rRNA from 1 species